GAUGAACGCUGGCGGCGUGCCUAAUACAUGCAAGUCGAGCGAACGGACGAGAAGCUUGCUUUUCUGAUGUUAGCGGCGGACGGGUGAGUAACACGUGGAUAACCUACCUAUAAGACUGGGAUAACUUCGGGAAACCGGAGCUAAUACCGGAUAAUAUUUUGAACCGCAUGGUUCAAAAGUGAAAGACGGUCUUGCUGUCACUUAUAGAUGGAUCCGCGCUGCAUUAGCUAGUUGGUAAGGUAACGGCUUACCAAGGCAACGAUGCAUAGCCGACCUGAUGGGGUGAUCGGCCACACUGGAACUGAGACACGGUCCAGACUCCUACGGGAGGCAGCAGUAGGGAAUCUUCCGCAAAGGGCGAAAGCCUGACGGAGCAACGCCGCGUGAGUGAUGAAGGUCUUCGGAUCGUAAAACUCUGUUAUUAGGGAAGAACAUAUGUGUAAGUAACUGUGCACAUCUUGACGGUACCUAAUCAGAAAGCCACGGCUAACUACGUG
rnacentral:rRNA from 1 species